rnacentral:rRNA from 1 species
GCCAGUAAUCGCAGAUCAGAAUGCUGCGGUGAAUACGUUCCCGGGUCUUGUACACACCGCCCGUCACACCAUGGGAGUCGGAUAUGCCCGAAGCCAGUGACCCAACCGUAAGGAGGGAGCUGUCGAAGGUGGAGCCGAUAACUGGGGUGAAGUCGUAACAAGGUAUC